CACCGCCCAAUCACCUGUCUCUGGUUAUCUCUGGACAGGUGUUGGGGCGGCCGCUAUGGUUGUUGUUGUUGGACGCAUGAGCAGUGAUGGACAGCUGUUUUCAUCUUGUAGAAUAUGUUGAUAUAUCUUCAGUAACCACCUGGCGCUUAGGACGUAAAACCAUCUACAAAGGAGAGGACCAGGAAACUAUCAUUGGACCCCCUGAAACCUGCCUAAAACCUAGAUGUCUCAGGCUGUUGCUGCCUGCCAGACCGCCAUUUUGGACUUCAGGGCAGCCUGAAAUUCACUGACAUCCCACGAACUUGGUGGGUCGUGUGAUCGGUCACCUGCGGUUUCGAGCCUCCACCAGCUCGCUGAGCUGGUCCUGAGCCGCUCGCAGCUCCUCCAGACUCUGCUGGUAGCUGAGAUCCCCCGAGCCCGACCUCUCCAGGAGGGAAACCUGGUCGGACAGCUCGCUGGUUCGAUCCCGCAGCCGCUGGAUGGACAUGUACAAGUUCUCAUCAUCUUCCUCCUGCAGCCACGGCGAGGAGCGGAGAACAGCAAGGCAAAGUGGAAGUCAUUAUGACCCAGUGGUUUACCUUUGCAUUGACGAUCUCUAGAUGGACCAGAAGUGAUGCCAGUUCCAGCUCUUCACUGUAGCUGUUCUUCAGAGGGAUGCUCCUGUAGCCUGACAACACGUGAAUAAAGCAACACAUUGCAAAAUACUUGUCUGUAUUUAAUUCUUUUUUGUCACAUCUGCAAAAAUAAUUUACAACUCUUAACAAUUUACAACUCUUAACUCUCCCUCAGACCUUUAAUUAUGGUUGGCUUCUUUUGAAUAGUUAACCAUGCCAUUAAAACAGAAUCAUUGCAGAGUCAUCUAAAAUGAUUUGCUUGAAGUGGAGUUCUUCUGCAUUCACCUGUUCGUAGCAGGCGGACGGGGUAGGUGGCCUGUGCCAGGAAGUUUGGAUCACUGAACAUGUCCUCCUCGUAGACAGUGAAGCGCAGAAAGGUGAAGGUGGGGUUGUGGAUGUCAAACACAAACUGCUUCUGCACCCACACAGGAUUCAGACCGUUAUCAGCUGGGAGCUGUCGUAAUCCGCGCCGUAGAUCUCCACUUCCACAAAGGGACAGACGAUGCUGCGGCCAUUUUUAGGCAGAUGACGGGCCCCCAGAACCUGAUCCAGAACCGUGGAUGAAUGUUAAAAGCGGUGAUCGAUCGGACCUGUAACUGGAUGGUGAUUGGCUCCACGUGUAAGGUGUCCUUAUCGAAAGGGUCAAAGGCGUCGUCCCUCAUGACAUCAGGCUGGGGAACGAAGCCGCUGGCGCCUCCGAGCAUGAACAAGGCCUGGUUCAGCUGCAUGGGUUUAUCUGCACGCCACACACACACACACACACACACACAGUUUUGUGUCUUACAGCUGACGUCCUCAGUAUUAACAGUCCUGUUGUCCUCGGGUCGAUUUUGACCCAUUUUCAAAUUUUCAAGUUUUUAUAUCAGAAAUGUGGGUUUCUUUCAACCGAACUGUCAAAAAAAAUAUUAACGUAGAUGAAUUUGGGCGUUUUAUUAAAUUUAUAGCAUUUGAACAAAAAUGUAGGGAAAAAAGCAUUGAUAAAAAUGACAAAAAUGACAAAAACAUUGGAAAAAGUGACCAAAAUUUUAGGGAAAGCUUCAAAAACGUCAGGAAAAAGAAGCGACAAAAGUGUUGGAAAAAAACCCAGCCUAAAACUUUAUAAAAAAUGUGUGAAUUAAAAAUACCCACCCAGAAAAAACAAACAAAAAGUUGCAUAGUAGACGGGAAGACAACACAAGGGUUAAGAGCCUGUUGCUGCAACAUUUGCCGGGUGUGUCCAAGGACCCGAAGGCUGAACCUGGUUAUCCUCGUCAAAAGAGAGUCCAACAUCACUAAGACAAAACCUAAUGAUGCAUUCAGGUACUUAUUUAUACGUAGUAAAGAGUUGUUAUGUUUAUAACCAGAAAAUAGUUAUCUCUUCCCUUGGUGGCCACUUUAUUGCAGGCAUCUGAAACUAGAGGCAAAAUGUGAUGAGUACGCUCUUUAUCUUUGUGAAAAGACUCGAUGUGUAGAGAAUUGUCUCUGGUAAAUGCUCUGGGUACUUCUCUUGUUUGCUUUGACACUGUGUAAAUACUUGUACAUCUGCCCACUGACCUGGGGUCUGGAAAUUGAGAGCGACCAGCUGGGAGCCACAGAGCCACAUGGGCAGCGGGUCGUAGUUGGACGAGUCCAGCCUCUGUCCCCGGGGAUAAACUCUGGAAAGCUGACGGCGGUUGUACUGCAGGAAGCGUUUCCCUCGGCUGCGGGUUGCAAACUUCUCGGCCUUUGUCUCUGGGAAGGAGGACAUGUCGCGGUAACAUGCCCUCUCUGUCCCGAUCUCUGGAAGCAGCAGCAAAUCAAAAAAGAAUUACCACAGAAACUUAAAAAAAAUAAAUAAAAUAGUGAAGCAAGAGACGAAGAGAGAGAGCAGUUGGAUCCUUACUGUCCUCGUUGAAGGGGACAGGUCUGCAGUAGACCACGAGCUCGGACAGCUCCACCGCGAUCUUCUUCCUCCUCUCCAUUUGCUUCUCCUCCUGCAUCUGUUACCAUGGAGAUAAGACAACCAUACUGUUCAGCCAAUACAAUAGAAAAAAAAAUCCCUUUCAAAUAUUGGUUACUUUUGAGCCACAAAAUUCAGUUUCAAAUGAUUAGUCUUUACAUUAUGUCUUAACAUUUUAUAAAUUGAAGUUUAAAAAGUCAGAUUGUUCAUUCGCCGAGAUUUAGUUUGCGUCGCUUUGGUCAUACUGACCCGUGCGUCGGCGUUCUGUGCGGCCUCUCUGAUCUUGGCGACCCAGCUGGUUACGUCCUCCAGACUGUCGGCUGCAACGUCCAGAGUCUGAACCGGGUGAGACGACAGCUGCUGGGAGUGGAUGGUGAACACAUAGGGACGAGAAUUCUUCCCGUCCUUAUGCACCACUGAAGAAAGAUGGAGGAAGAGAUCAAGUGUCAGUUUUGUGUGAGAAGGCAGUUUGCUAUGAGGGCUAAUAGGUAAUAAACAGAGCUAUUACAAAACAGGAAAAUCAAAACGCCUGAAUCCGUGUAAACUUUGAAUUUUCAAUAACAGGUUUGAAAAAAUAUGUGUCCCAACUAGUGGAAUUUGUAACCUUUUGUAUAACUACAAUCAAUUAGUGGGAGGGGAAAAAAAUAUAAAUGCCAAUAGUCUCUUGGGCGUGAAAUGUAUCAGCGUGUACGUUUGUGUUCAAGAUGGGUGGUUGGUUUAGGAACAGAUCAAUUACAUGGGAAACUGCAGUGACUGGUGGUGGCUAAAUGUGAAAGAAUAUGUAGACAAUUUAAAGUGAAAAUAUUGUGUAGUUUAUACCAAAAUGCAGAUCAAUAAAUUUGUUGAAUUUUGCUAGAUUGUGAGACAAUUGCAAGAGAAUUUGAAGGAGAAAGUUUCGACAUGAUGUGCAGUUUUUGGAUAGGGUUUUCUGGGUUAAAUUGCUUAAUUGAAAUUGGCAAGUCACACUUAAAAAAAACUCACCGACAUGGCAGGUGGGUACAUCAAUGAAGCCCUUGAGGAAUGUUCCAAGAGGACUGUUCUCUGUAGACUGAGACGACACAACAAUACGAAAUAAAAGAUUGAUUAUGAUUGGAAGUUGAUCAUUUGAAUGAAUGAAAUCUUUAUUUCAAACGAUUA